AUUGAACGCUGGCGGCAGGCCUAACACAUGCAAGUCGAACGAGUGGCGGACGGGUGAGUAAUGUAUGGGACACUGCCCGAGGGAGGGGGAUAACUACUGGAAAAGGUAGCUAAUACCGCAUACCAUCGGAUGUGCCCAGAUGGGCUUAGAGAGUAGGAGGGGUAAAGGCUCACCUAGGCGACGAUCCCUAGCUUGUAGGAGAGGAUGACCAGCCACACUGGAACUGAGACACGGUCCAGACUCCUACGGUAGUCAGCAGUGGGGAAUAUUGCACAAUGGGCGCAAGCCUGAUGCAGCCAUGCCGCGUGUAUGAAGAAGGCCUUCGGGUUGUAAAGUACUUUCAGCGGGGAGGCGUUACCCGCAGAAGAAGCACCGGCUAACUCCGUGCCAGCAGCCGCGGUAAUUC
rnacentral:rRNA from 1 species